rnacentral:rRNA from 1 species
AACGUACGCUGGCGGCGUGGAUAAGACAUGCAAGUCGAACGGGACUAAAUCUGUAGCAAUACAGGUUUAGUUUAGUGGCGAACGGGUGCGUAACACGUGGGCAAUCUGCCGAGAAGUGGGGGAUAGCUCGCCGAAAGGCGAAUUAAUACCGCAUAUGAUCAGCUAAGACAUCUUAGCGACAUCAAAGCCGGGGCAACCUGGCGCUUCUUGAUGAGCCCGCGACCUAUCAGCUAGUUGGUGAGGUAACGGCCCACCAAGGCUAUGACGGGUAGCUGGUCUGAGAGGACGACCAGUCACACUGGAACUGAGACACGGUCCAGACACCUACGGGUGCAGCAGUCGAG